UUGAAAAACGAGCUUUAAUGACUUAAACCUAAGUGUAUGUAAACUUCCGACUUCAACUGUACAUCAAAGAGGAUUUGAUCAUCCCACAUGUGAGUGCUGCUGGACUGGUUAUUCCUUGAUAGAUUUACAGAUCUCCCUGAUCUUAAAUUGAAAAAUUAUCUCUCUGUUUUUCUUGUAUGUCGCCAGUUAAUUAUGCUCUGUUUUCUCUUACGUCGGAAGCUAAUUAUCACUCUUUUUUUCUCUUACGUCGCAGUUAAUUAUCGCUCUGUGUGUUCUCUUACGUCGCAGUUCAUUAUUUCGCUCUGUGUGUUUCUUACGUCGCAGUUAUUAUCGCUCUGUGUGUUCUCUUACGUCGCAGUUAAUUAUCGCUCUGUGUGUUCUCUUACGUCGCAGUUAAUUAUCGCUCUGUUUUUCUUUUAGCAUCACAGUUUCUAUGACUUCAUUGUGAUGAAAGCUUGAGGCAAAAACAAACUAAAAUGUGCAGUAUAUUGAAAUAUGUAAGUUCAACUUUAUUCUACCGUAGGUCCACUCUUCAGCUUCGAUGUCCACAAUAACAUUCGGCUGGUGAAUGACGCCACCGUUGAAAAAGACAGAGUCUCACACAGGUAAAGUGGUGCUGAGGAGCUGGUAUGAGAAGAACAAGCACAUCUUCCCUGCUAGUCGCUGGGAGACCUACGACCCCRGAGAAGAAAUGGGACAAAUACACCAUCCGGUGAAAAUAUUGCCUUCAGGAUCAUUCUGGACCCAGAUUUUAUUUUCAUGUUUUACUAUUAAUGUAUUGUCAGAUGCAUUCUCCUUUCAGAUKAAUACAUUUCAUUAACUUUAAAACAUUAGGUUACUCUUCAUUGUUACUCCUCUACCUGUUUAUUUAAAUUCCCCAAAGUGUUGUUGCCUAAAUCAUGAAACCAUAGUGAUCUCUUUACCAAUAACAUAACAGUUCUGUUGAAGAAAUAUUCCCAUUUCAAUUCCUAUGAAAAUAUGUGAUCCUAUUAUUUUUUUUWAAAUACAA